CAUCUGUUGCAGGCCUUUGGGUUUGCCUUUCAAGCUUAUUUUGUUUAUGAGGUUGAGAAACACAAGAAUGUUAUCAUGCCAACUCAUCAUCUGAGCUGGACUUCCAACAUGAUCAUAGUGAUUCCCAUUGCAAUAGCCACAAGCUUUGAUAUAGCUCUUGAAUUGAAUCAAAUAGGUAGGCACAAUCAGUUCAACAAAUUGUGCAAAUUCACAUCCCCAUUAUCAAUUUUACUUUUAUCUUAUGUAUGCAGAUUUGAGGUACCUGCAUUCAAGUUAACACUAUCAAUUGUGUUGAUGACAAUUGGAAGUUUAUUAACAAGUUAGUCAAAAUUCUUUUUCUCUUACUCUAUUUUAUUUAUCUGUAAAUAAAAUAAUAUAUAUAUAUAUAUAUAUCCUUUUUUUCGGAAAUAUUAAUAUUUUAAUAUUCUCUUAAUAUGUUUUUGUCUGAUUUAGGGAAAUUUUACACUAUUUAUAAUAUGAGCUUAAAAUAUGUAAGUAUUUUAAUAUAUUGUUAAUAUUGUUUAAUUAACACGAAUUUAUGUACAUCGGCAACAAAAAUAUGCAAUAUAUUCUACAAUUAUAGAAAGAAGGUACUAAUAUACAACUAUAUGUUAAUGAAUAUUACCAUAAAUACAUAACAUUUAUUCAAAAUUUAAUGAUGCACUUGUGAUGUUUAAAAAGAGCUGAUGGUCUUUUUACAAAUCUAAUAAAGUUUUUACAGACAGAAAUUCACCAUUCAUAACCUUGAAAAGAUUGACACCAUGGAUGACAAUAUUUGCCUUUCUAUUUUCAUUUAGCUUUGAAAUAUUCUGGAAAAUUACUAAAUGGUCCACAUUUUUUAACAAUGUGACUAAUCUUAUGGAGGGGGUCGGUCAACAAUUACUACACUAUAUUUUGUGGACAAUAGAGGUAAGAAAUUUUAUAAACAAUCAUUCAUUUAUAGUUAAUUUCAUAGCAUAUGCAAUAAAAAAUAGUAGUAUUUCAAAGGCUAAAUUGACAUGCAAAAUUUCAAAAGAAAUGGUCAAAUUAUGCUUUAAUGAUA